rnacentral:rRNA from 1 species
GUAGUCUCGCACAGAUGCAUAUCAAUAAGCGGAGGAAAAGAAACUAACAAGGAUUCCCCUAGUAACGGCGAGUGAAGCGGGAAGAGCUCAAAUUUGAAAUCUUAAAGGGUUUCCCUUUACGAAUUGUAGUUUAAAGAAGUGUUUUCUGUUGAGGUUUUGGUAAAAGUUCUUUGGAAUAGGACAUCAUAGAGGGUGAGAAUCCCGUAUUUGACCUUUACUUUCAACUUUGUGAUACACUUUCAAAGAGUCGGAUUGUUUGGGAAUGCAGUCCAAAAUGGGUGGUAAAUUUCAUCUAAAGCUAAAUAUUGGCGAGAGACCGAUAGCGAACAAGUACCGUGAGGGAAAGAUGAAAAGAACUUUGAAAAGAGAGUUAAACAGUACGUGAAAUUGUCAAAAGGGAAGCGUUUGACACCAGUGUUGUUUUUCUGAAAAUCAAUUAAAGAACUGUUUAUGCUAAGCUGUUUAGACUUUAUCAGCUAACUGUUUAGUUUUGAGCUUUUCUUUAAUGCACUUUUCAGUUAACAAGUCAACAUCAAUUUCUUUUGCUGUAAAAAAGCUUGAGGAAGGUGGCUUGAGAUUCGUCUUAAGUGUUUAUAGCCUCUUGCCUAUGCAGUCGGAGAGAUUGAGGUCUGCAGCGUAGAUCCUUCGGGGCUAAAUGCAUUUGUGCUAAGUUAUAGCAUUUUAUAGACAACUUGUUGACUAUGAGUUUGUCUUGUAGCUUACUCGCUUAUGUUAUUUUACCUACGCUUAGGAUGUUGAAGACUCUACAGAGAU